GUUUCAAGAUCAGCUUAUGGCAUGUGCAUACCUCCAAGCAAGCAAAUUACCAGUUACGACCGUAAAGCCUUUGUAGAUCCUUGCAGUGUGUACAUGUCCAUGGAAACAAUGGAGGAUCCAGACAAUAGGAAUGGAUACAGAGAGUCUCGCAUAGAUGGCAUUUGACUAGUAGGUCCUCUGGUUCUUGACAAGAGCAUUGACAACAGACUGGAGUUCUUGAUGAAUUUG
rnacentral:misc_RNA from 1 species